UAUCGCAUGGGGCGAGCCUGACGGAGCACGCCGCGUGAGUGAUGAAGGUCUUCGGAUCGUAAAACUCUGUUGUUAGGGAAGAACAAAUUUGUUAGUAACUGAACAAGUCUUGACGGUACCUAACCAGAAAGCCACGGCUAACUACGUGCCAGCAGCCGCGGUAAUAAGGGUUCG
rnacentral:rRNA from 1 species